rnacentral:rRNA from 1 species
CGCGUAGGCGGCUUGGCAAGUCAGAUGUGAAAGCCCCGGGCUUAACUCGGGAAUUGCAUCUGAAACUGCUUUGCUUGAGUCCUGGAGGGGAUAGUGGAAUUCCCAGUGUAGCGGUGAAAUGCGUAGAUAUUGGGAGGAACACCUGCGGCGAAGGCGGCUAUCUGGACAGUGACUGACGCUGAGGCGCGAAAGCUAGGGGAGCGAACGGGAUUAGAUACCCCGGUAGUCCUAGCCGUAAACGAUGGGCACUUGGUGUUGGGGGUAUUGAGUCCCUCGGUGCCGGAGUUAACACGUUAAGUGCCCCGCCUGGGGAGUACGGUCGCAAGACUGAA